CGGAGCGACGCCGCGUGAUGGAUGAAGGCCCUCGGGUUGUAAACAUCUGUCGUAGGGGAGGAAAUUUUGACCGAUCCUAGGAGGAAGCACAGGCUAAGUUCGUGCCAGCAGCCGCGGUAAUACGAACUGUGCAAACGUUAUUCGGAAUCACUGGGCUUAAAGGGUGCGUAGGCGGAUUGGUAGGUCAGAUGUGAAAUCCCACGGCUCAACCGUGGAACUGCGUUUGAAACCACUAGUCUUGAGGGGAUCAGAGGAGAGCGGAACUGAUGGUGGAGCGGUGAAAUGCGUUGAUAUCAUCAGGAACACCGGUGGCGAAAGCGGCUCUCUGGGAUCUUUCUGACGCUGAGGCACGAAAGCUAGGGGAGCGAACGGGAUUAGAUACCCCGGUAGUCCUAGCUGUAAACGAUCUGUACUAGUCCGUGGGAACUUCCACAUUUUCUCGGACGUAGCGAAAGUGUUAAGUACAGCGCCUGGGGAGUAUGGUCGCAAGGCUGAAACUCAAAGGAAUUGACGGGGCCUUCACACAAAAGG
rnacentral:rRNA from 1 species